rnacentral:rRNA from 1 species
GGGCGCGUCGCAGCCCCGGACCAAGGCGCCCGCCGGAGGACCAAUUUACAAACUCUUUGUAUGUCCCUUUGCGGAUUUUUAUUAUACAUUCUGAGCUUUCUCGGCGCUCCUAGCGAGCGUUUCGAAAAUGAAUCAAAACUUUCAACAACGGAUCUCUUGGUUCUGGCAUCGAUGAAGAACGCAGCGAAAUGCGAUAAGUAAUGUGAAUUGCAGAAUUCAGUGAAUCAUCGAAUCUUUGAACGCACAUUGCGCCCGCCAGUAUUCUGGCGGGCAUGCCUGUCCGAGCGUCAUUUCAACCCUCGAACCCCUCCGGGGGGUCGGCGUUGGGGAUCGGCCUUCUACCGGCCGGCCCCGAAAUACAGUGGCGGUCUCGCCGCAGCCUCUCCUGCGCAGUAGUUUGCACACUCGCACCGGGAGCGCGGCGCGUCCACGUCCGUAAAACACCCAACUUUCUGAAAUGUUGACCUCGGAUCAGGUAGGAAUACCCGCUGAACUUAAGCAUAUCAAAGUCGGGAAGGAA